CUGGGCGUAAAGCGCGCGCAGGCGGCCAUUUAAGUUGGAUGUGAAAGCCUACAGCUCAACUGUAGAACUGCAUCCAAAACUAUUUGGCUAGAGUGUGGGAGAGGAAGAUGGAAUUAGUUGUGUAGGGGUAAAAUCCGUAGAGAUAACUAGGAAUACCAAAAGCGAAGGCAAUCUUCUGGAACAUUACUGACGCUGAGGCGCGAAAGCGUGGGGAGCAAACAGGAUUAGAUACCCUGGUAGUCCACGCCCUAAACGAUGAAUGUUAGUCGUCGGGUAGCUAGUCUAUUCGGUGAUGCAGCUAACGCAUUAAACAUUCCGCCUGGGGAGUACGGUCGCAAGAUUAAAACUCAAAGGAAUAGACGGGGACCCGCACAAGUGGUGGAGCAUGUGGUUUAAUUCGAAGAUACGCGAAGAACCUUACCUAGCCUUGACAUAUAUUAGAACUCCGCAGAGAUGCAGAGGUGCCUUCGGGAGCUUUUAUACAGGUGCUGCACGGCUGUCGUCAGCUCGUGUCGUGAGAUGUUGGGUUAAGUCCCGCAACGAGCGCAACCCUCGUCACUAGUUACUAACGGUUCGGCCGAGGACUCUAGUGAGACUGCCUUCGUAAGGAGGAGGAAGGUGAGGACGACGUCAAGUCAUCAUGGCCCUUACGGCUAGGGCAACACACGUGCUACAAUGGCCAGGACAGUGAGAAGCGAUA
rnacentral:rRNA from 1 species